AAAAGGUUCUAGGACAUAAUGAGGAUGAAUGAAUGAUGAUGGAAGGUAAAACUUCUUAGGAAGUUCACUUCUUGAGAUCAUAUGAGAAAUGAUUCAAGGGUGUCCUUUGGAAUGGAAAGUAAGUAAAGAUAAAAUAAACAAACAAAUGAUACCGGAUGCCACUCAAUGGUCUUACUCCAAUCUCACAAACAAAAGCGGAUAUCGGAUACCAAUGGCUGGGUUUACACCAAUCUCCUAAAACAGAACUGGAUAUCAGAGGCCACUCAAUGGUCUUACACUAAUCUCCUC
rnacentral:lncRNA from 1 species